rnacentral:rRNA from 1 species
AGACCCGAAACCCGGUGAUCUAGCCAUGGGCAGGUUGAAGGUUGGGUAACACUAACUGGAGGACCGAACCGACUAAUGUUGAAAAAUUAGCGGAUGACCUGUGGCUGGGGGUGAAAGGCCAAUCAAACCGGGAGAUAGCUGGUUCUCCCCGAAAGCUAUUUAGGUAGCGCCUCGUGAAUUCAUCUCCGGGGGUAGAGCACUGUUUCGGCUAGGGGGCCAUCCCGGCUUACCAACCCGAUGCAAACUGCGAAUACCGGAGAAUGUUAUCACGGGAGACACACGGCGGGUGCUAACGUCCGUCGUGAAGAGGGAAACAACCCAGACCGCCAGCUAAGGUCCCAAAGUCAUGGUUAAGUGGGAAACGAUGUGGGAAGGCCCAGACAGCCAGGAUGUUGGCUUAGAAGCAGCCAUCAUUUAAAGAAAGCGUAAUAGCUCACUGGUCGAGUCGGCCUGCGCGGAAGAUGUAACGGGGCUAAACCAUGCACCGAAGCUGCGGCAGCGACGCUGAUGCGUUGUUGGGUAGGGGAGCGUUCUGUAAGCCUGUGAAGGUGGCCUGUGAGGGUUGCUGGAGGUAUCAGAAGUGCGAAUGCUGACAUAAGUAACGAUAAAGCGGGUGAAAAGCCCGCUCGCCGGAAGACCAAGGGUUCCUGUCCAACGUUAAUCGGGGCAGGGUGAGUCGACCCCUAAGGCGAGGCCGAAAGGCGUAGUCGAUGGGAAACGGGUUAAUAUUCCCGUACUUGGUGUUACUGCGAAGGGGGGACGGAGAAGGCUAUGUUGGCCGGGCGACGGUUGUCCCGGUUUAAGCGUGUAGGUGUGUGUUCCAGGUAAAUCCGGUUCACUUUAACACUGAGGCGUGAUGACGAGGCACUACGGUGCUGAAGCAACAAAUGCCCUGCUUCCAGGAAAAGCCUCUAAGCAUCAGGUAACAUCAAAUCGUACCCCAAACCGACACAGGUGGUCAGGUAGAGAAUACCAAGGCGCUUGAGAGAACUCGGGUGAAGGAACUAGGCAAAAUGGUGCCGUAACUUCGGGAGAAGGCACGCUGACACGUAGGUGAAGUGAUUUACUCAUGGAGCUGAAGUCAGUCGAAGAUACCAGCUGGCUGCAACUGUUUAUUAAAAACACAGCACUGUGCAAACACGAAAGUGGACGUAUACGGUGUGACGCCUGCCCGGUGCCGGAAGGUUAAUUGAUGGGGUCAGCGCAAGCGAAGCUCCUGAUCGAAGCCCCGGUAAACGGCGGCCGUAACUAUAACGGUCCUAAGGUAGCGAAAUUCCUUGUCGGGUAAGUUCCGACCUGCACGAAUGGCGUAAUGAUGGCCAGGCUGUCUCCACCCGAGACUCAGUGAAAUUGAACUCGCUGUGAAGAUGCAGUGUACCCGCGGCAAGACGGAAAGACCCCGUGAACCUUUACUAUAGCUUGACACUGAACAUUGAGCCUUGAUGUGUAGGAUAGGUGGGAGGCUUUGAAGUGUGGACGCCAGUCUGCAUGGAGCCGGCCUUGAAAUACCACCCUUUAAUGUUUGAUGUUCUAACGUGGACCCGUGAUCCGGGUUGCGGACAGUGUCUGGUGGGUAGUUUGACUGGGGCGGUCUCCUCCUAAAGAGUAACGGAGGAGCACGAAGGUUGGCUAAUCCUGGUCGGACAUCAGGAGGUUAGUGCAAUGGCAUAAGCCAGCUUGACUGCGAGCGUGACGGCGCGAGCAGGUGCGAAAGCAGGUCAUAGUGAUCCGGUGGUUCUGAAUGGAAGGGCCAUCGCUCAACGGAUAAAAGGUACUCCGGGGAUAACAGGCUGAUACCGCCCAAGAGUUCAUAUCGACGGCGGUGUUUGGCACCUCGAUGUCGGCUCAUCACAUCCUGGGGCUGAAGUAGGUCCCAAGGGUAUGGCUGUUCGCCAUUUAAAGUGGUACGCGAGCUGGGUUUAGAACGUCGUGAGACAGUUCGGUCCCUAUCUGCCGUGGGCGCUGGAGAACUGAGGGGGGCUGCUCCUAGUACGAGAGGACCGGAGUGGACGCAUCACUGGUGUUCGGGUUGUCAUGCCAAUGGCACUGCCCGGUAGCUAAAUGCGGAAGAGAUAAGUGCUGAAAGCAUCUAAGCACGAAACUUGCCCCGAG